GAUGAACGCUGGCGGCAUGCCUAAUACAUGCAAGUCGAGCGAACAGUUCAGGAGCUGGGGCCUCUGACUGUAGCAGGCGACGGGUGAUGAACACAGGGAUAGCAUACCUAUAAGACUGGGAUAACUUUGGGGAACCAGAGCUAAGGCCCGAUGAUAUAUUGAACCGCAUUGGUCAAGAGUUAGAGAAGGUUGUUCGUUGAGUAAUAGAUUAAUACGGCGCGCAUUAGCUAGUUGGUACGGUAAAGGCUUACCAAGGCAACGAUGUGUAGCCGACCUGAGAGGGUGAUCGGCCACACGGGAACUGGGACACGCUCCAGCCCCCGACGGGAGGCAGGAGCAGGGAAUCUUCCGCAAGGGGCGAAAGCCUGAAGGAGCAACGCCGCGUGAGCGAUGACGGUCAUCGGCUCGUAAAUCUCUGUUAUCAGGGAAGAACAAAUGUGUAAGUACCUAUGCGCGUAUGGCCGGUACCGAAUAAGAAAGCCCCGGCUAAUUACGG
rnacentral:rRNA from 1 species